ACAAUAGCAGGCUAGGGUUCCGGUCCACGCAGGUGGAUGACUGGUCCGAGAGCUGGCGACCUCGGUUGGGGUUACACGGCGGGAGAAAAGCCCGGGAGAC
rfam:Triticum urartu cultivar G1812 contig364096, whole genome shotgun sequence.